UAGACCGCCUGGGGAGUACGGCCGCAAGGUUAAAACUCAAAUGAAUUGACGGGGGCCCGCACAAGCGGUGGAGCAUGUGGUUUAAUUCGAUGCAACGCGAAGAACCUUACCUGGUCUUGACAUCCACAGAACUUUCCAGAGAUGGAUUGGUGCCUUCGGGAACUGUGAGACAGGUGCUGCAUGGCUGUCGUCAGCUCGUGUUGUGAAAUGUUGGGUUAAGUCCCGCAACGAGCGCAACCCUUAUCCUUUGUUGCCAGCGAUUAGGUCGGGAACUCAAAGGAGACUGCCAGUGAUAAACUGGAGGAAGGUGGGGAUGACGUCAAGUCAUCAUGGCCCUUACGACCAGGGCUACACACGUGCUACAAUGGCGCAUACAAAGAGAAGCGACCUCGC
rnacentral:rRNA from 3 species